ACCGGCGCACGGGUGAGUAACGCGUAUCCAACCUGCCCUUUACUUGGGGAUAACCCGUUGAAAGACGGACUAAUACCCAAUGAUAUUCAUUGAUGACAUCUGAUUUGAAUUAAAGAUUUAUCGGUAUAGGAUGGGGAUGCGUCUGAUUAGCUUGUUGGUGAGGUAACGGCUCACCAAGGCCACGAUCAGUAGGGGUUCUGAGAGGAAGGUCCCCCACAUUGGAACUGAGACACGGUCCAAACUCCUACGGGAGGCAGCAGCA
rnacentral:rRNA from 1 species